AUCUUUUUGUUGUUCAUGAGCAUGUGAUUGGGUGUUCACCCGCAGGUGUGAAAUGUGCUACCCUCAAAUCUUAUUUUGGGACAUUACCCGUCCGACA
ensembl:snoRNA